UUUUUUAUUUUUCUCUCGCGAUUCAGAAAGUUUCUCUUCUAUCUUUCUCUAUGGAUCGAAUUAUGCUGAGAGUUUUCCGUGGAAGCCUGAAAGAGAUUAAUUAAACCGAGAGAGAAGAUAUUGAUCUUGAUGAACAUGGAACAACUGAUGAUGGCGAUGAGAUCGAUUGAACUCGGGUAAUUGGGGAAAAGGUAAAUCAGAGAGAAUAGAAGUAGGCUUUCUCUGAUUUGAUUGUGAAUUGGUAUGUCUACCGUAAACCCAGGAAGAAACUAUAGGGUUUAUAAAAUUUAUCUAUAUGUUCUUACCCAAAUAGAAAUUAGGGUUCUUGGGGGUGAAUUUCUAGAAAUUAGAAAUUAGGGUUCUCUGGGAUGAGAUUAAAGAUGGGUAUUGAGUUAAUUGAACAUAUUAGGUUGAAAUUUCAGAUGAAGUUAAGUCUCAUGAAAUGAAUUGAAAUCUCAGUGAGAUUAGGGUUUGGUUUUGAGGAUUCUAGGUAAAUAGAGGCAGCAGAAAAGAUUCUGGUAAGGGGAUGUUUUGAGGAUUCUGGGUAAAUAGAGGGGGAGAACAGAUUCUGGCAAGGGGAGGUUUGAAUUUGGGAGCAGAUGGAUCCGAAAUCAAGAAACGAAAUUACAACUUGGGGUUGGUUUGAAUCUGAGAUUGAAUAAAUUAGAGUCGACAUACGGCAUCUGGUGCAAGUUUGUGGUGAUUUGAGUUUUCAAAAAACUACAGAGAGAAGAUUGUGGUGCUGCUUGGUGUUGUUGAUUUAUUUAGUUGAUGGAGUCUGUGCUGGUAAUUGAAAAGCCGAGAAGAAAUUGAUGGUAAUUUUCGAAGAAAUAGUACAAUUGAGAUGGUUGUUUGGUCUGUGACUCGAACUGUUGGGGUUGAUUGUGCUACCGAGAGGGUUGAUUGUUAGUUGUUCUAUGAGAUAAUGAAACCAAAAUUCUGGUGUUGUAUGUUGAUGGGUUUCAGUGGAUAUGUGCUACCAUGGACUAGAUAAAUCUGAGUUUCUAUGGAGUCUAGGGUUCUGUUGUAACUGAAGCAAUAUUGAUGCAGUGGUCUGUUGAGUUAUCGGUUUUGGAUAUGAAGAUUCAGAUAUACAUGGAAAUGGAUCAAGGUGGAUUCUGAUUUUUUUAGAAGGGUAAAUAAGUAAAACACUCAAUUAUAUUAAUAAUAAAAAAAAGAGAAAAAUAAAAAAAAUAGGUCAAAUAAAGUCAAUCACAGUCGAACAAUUCCAAAUAUCAAACACCAAAUUGGACAAAUGUUAGACUAAAUUCAAAAAUCGGACAAAACUUGAGUACCUACUUUGUUGAUUGAUUAAGCAUUACAAUUACAUCUACUUUUGGAUGUAUAUAACGGCUA